rnacentral:rRNA from 1 species
AAAACGCUGGCGGCGUGCUUUGACAUGCAUGUCGAACGGCAACGGGGGCUUCGGCCUGCCGGCGAGUGGCGAACGGGUGAGUAAUGCCUCGGAACGUCCCCUGUCGUGGGGGAUAACUUCGCGAAAGCGUCGCUAAUCCCGCAUACGCCCUGGGGGGGAAAGGGGGGGAUCUUGGGACCUCCCGUUUUUGGAGGGGCCUAUGUCGGAUUAGCUAGUUGGUGGGGUAAAGGCCCACCAAGGCGACGAUCCGUAGCUGGUCUGAGAGGAUGAUCCCCCACACUGGGACUGACACCCGGCCCAAACUCCUACGGGAGGCAGCAGUGGGGAAUUUUGGACAAUGGGGGAAACCCUGAUCCAGCCAUGCCGCGUGAGUGAAUAAGGCCUUCGGGUUGUAAAGCUCUUUCAGAGAGAAAGACAACGCCCCUCCUAAUACCCGGCGUGGAUGACGCUACCGUCAGAAGAAGCACCGGCUAUCUACGUGCCAGCAUCCGCGGUAAUACGUAGGGUGCGAGCGUUAAUCGGAAUUACUGGUCGUAAAGCGUGCGCAGGCGGUUGUGUAAGACAGGUGUGAAAUCCCCGGGGCUUAACCUGGGAACUGCUCUUGUGACUGCAGGGCUAUAGUACGGCAGAGGGGGGGUGGAAUUCCACGUGUAGCAGUGAAAUGCGUACAUAUGAUGAGAAGACCACCGGUGGCGAAGACAGCCCUCUGGGACGAUACUGACCUGAUGUACAAAGCGUGGGGGAGCAAACAGGAUAGAUACCCUGGUAGUCACCCCCUCACGAUGUCACUACUCGUCGGGGAUACGUGACUCUUGAUGACCCCACUCACCCGGUGAGUCAACCCCUGGGGAGACCGCCCGAAGUUAAUUCCAUGAAUGACGGGCCCCCCACAUGGGUGACAUGGGAUAUCGAGCUGUAAUCUCCACUGACCGCUCCACCUGAGACGGUGCUAAGAUCGGACAGGUCUGGGGUUCCCCUGUUGCAUUGUGUUAUCAAGAACCUUACCUUGCAGU